rnacentral:rRNA from 1 species
GACGAACGCUGGCGGCGUGCCUAAUACAUGCAAGUAGAACGCUGAAGGAGGAGCUUGCUUCUCUGGAUGAGUUGCGAACGGGUGAGUAACGCGUAGGUAACCUGCCUGGUAGCGGGGGAUAACUAUUGGAAACGAUAGCUAAUACCGUAUAAGAGUAGAUGUUGCAUGACAUUUGCUUAAAAGGUGCAAUUGCAUCACUACCAGAUGGACCUGCGUUGUAUUAGCUAGUUGGUGAGGUAACGGCUCACCAAGGCAACGAUACAUAGCCGACCUGAGAGGGUGAUCGGCCACACUGGGACUGAGACACGGCCCAGACUCCUACGGGAGGCAGCAGUAGGGAAUCUUCGGCAAUGGACGGAAGUCUGACCGAGCAACGCCGCGUGAGUGAAGAAGGUUUUCGGAUCGUAAAGCUCUGUUGUAAGAGAAGAACGAGUGUGAGAGUGGAAAGUUCACACUGUGACGGUAUCUUACCAGAAAGGGACGGCUAACUACGUG